UGGGUAGUCCGCACGAGCGCACCCUACUUUAUUUGCCAUCAGGUCAUGCUGGGGACUCUAAAGGGACUGCCGGCGUAAGCCGCGAGGAAGGUGGGGACGACGUCAAGUCAUCACGGCCCUUACGUCCUGGGCCACACACGUGCUACAAUGGUAGGUACAGAGGGCAGCUACCCCGCGAGGGGAUGCAAAUCUCUAAAGCCUAUCUCAGUUCGGAUUGGAGUCUGCAACUCGACUCCAUGAAGCUGGAAUCGCUAGUAAUCGCGCAUCAGCCAUGGCGCGGUGAAUACGUUCCCGGGCCUUGUACACACCGCCCGUCAAACCAUGGAAGCUGGGGGUACCUGAAGUCGGUAACCGUAAGGAGCCGCCUAGGGUAAAACUGGUAACUAGGGUUAAGUCGUAACAAGGUAGCCGUACCGGAAGGUGCGGCUGGAACAUAUCUUUUUU
rnacentral:rRNA from 1 species